GACCAAGGUUGUCGGUGUGCCUGUUUCACUGAAUGGUGAUCUUAAGAACCAAUUUGUUGAAACAACCGUGGGAUUUGAUACAGUGUGCAAGGUUAACUCUCAGCUUGUGAGCAAUGUUUGCCUUGAUGCAAUCUCAGCUGGAAAGUACUACUAUUUUGUCCGUCUGAUGGGUAGAAAAGCAUCUCACGUGGCCUUUGAAUGUGCAC
rnacentral:misc_RNA from 1 species